AUGCCGUAAACGGUGGGCGCUAGGUGUAGGGGACUUCCACGUCUUCUGUGCCGUAGCUAACGCAUUAAGCGCCCCGCCUGGGGAGUACGGCCGCAAGGCUAAAACUCAAAGGAAUUGACGGGGGCCCGCACAAGCGGCGGAGCAUGUGGAUUAAUUCGAUGCAACGCGAAGAACCUUACCUGGGCUUGACAUACACCGGAUCGCUGCAGAGAUGUAGCUUCCCUUGUGGUCGGUGUACAGGUGGUGCAUGGUUGUCGUCAGCUCGUGUCGUGAGAUGUUGGGUUAAGUCCCGUAACGAGCGCAACCCUUGUCUUAUGUUGCCAGCACGUGAUGGUGGGGACUCAUGAGAGACUGCCGGGGUCAACUCGGAGGAAGGUGGGGAUGACGUCAAAUCAUCAUGCCCCUUAUGUCCAGGGCUUCACACAUGCUACAAUGGUCGGUACAGCAGGUUGCCAGCUCGUAAGAGUGCGCUAAUCCUCUAAAGCCGGCCUCAGUUCGGAUUGGGGUCUGCAACUCGACCCCAUGAAGUCGGAGUCGCUAGUAAUCGCAGAUCAGCAACGCUGCGGUGAAUACGUUCCCGGGCCUUGUACACACCGCCCGUCACGUCAUGAAAGUUGGUAACACCCGAAGCCAGUGGCCCAACACCUUGUGUGGGGGAGCUGUCGAAGGUGGGAUCGGCGAUUGGGACG
rnacentral:rRNA from 1 species